AGCGAACGCUGGCGGUAGGCCUAACACAUGCAAGUCGAACGGCAGCACAGUAAGAGCUUGCUCUUACGGGUGGCGAGUGGCGGACGGGUGAGGAAUACAUCGGAAUCUACUUUUUCGUGGGGGAUAACGUAGGGAAACUUACGCUAAUACCGCAUACGACCUACGGGUGAAAGCAGGGGAUCUUCGGACCUUGCGCGAUUGAAUGAGCCGAUGUCGGAUUAGCUAGUUGGCGGGGUAAAGGCCCACCAAGGCGACGAUCCGUAGCUGGUCUGAGAGGAUGAUCAGCCACACUGGAGCUGAGACACGGUCCAGACUCCUACGGGAGGCAGCAGUGGGGAAUAUUGGACAAUGGGCGCAAGCCUGAUCCAGCCAUACCGCGUGGGUGAAGAAGGCCUUCGGGUUGUAAAGCCCUUUUGUUGGGAAAGAAAAGCAGCAGGUUAAUACCCCGCUGUUCUGACGGUACCCAAAGAAUAAGCACCGGCUAACUUCGUG
rnacentral:rRNA from 1 species